CUGACUACCAUGCAGUCGAGCGGUAACAGGGGUAGCUUGCUACCCGCUGACGAGCGGCGGACGGGUGAGUAACGCGUGAGAAUCUGCCCAUCAGUGGGGGAUAACCCGGGGAAACUCGGGCUAAUACCGCAACGUCCUACGGGACAAAGCAGGGGACCUUUUGGCCUUGCGCUGAUGGAUGAGCUCGCGUCGGAUUAGCUUGUUGGUGAGGUAAAGGCUCACCAAGGCGACGAUCCGUAGCUGGUCUGAGAGGAUGAUCAGCCACACCGGGACUGAGACACGGCCCGGACUCCUACGGGAGGCAGCAGUGGGGAAUCUUGGACAAUGGGGGCAACCCUGAUCCAGCCAUGCCGCGUGUGUGAAGAAGGCCUUCGGGUUGUAAAGCACUUUCAGUAGGGAGGAAGGCUUUCGGUUAAUACCCGGGAGUACUUGACGUUACCUACAGAAGAAGCACCGGCUAAUUUCGUGCCAGCAGCCGCGGUAAUACGAAAGGUGCAAGCGUUAAUCGGAAUUACUGGGCGUAAAGCGCGCGUAGGCGGUGUGUUAAGUCGGAUGUGAAAGCCCAGGGCUCAACCUUGGAAUUGCAUCCGAUACUGGCACGCUAGAGUGCAGUAGAGGGAGGUGGAAUUUCCGGUGUAGCGGUGAAAUGCGUAGAGAUCGGAAGGAACACCAGUGGCGAAGGCGGCCUCCUGGACUGACACUGACGCUGAGGUGCGAAAGCGUGGGGAGCAAACAGGAUUAGAUACCCUGGUAGUCCACGCCGUAAACGAUGUCUACUAGCCGUCGGGAUCCUUAGUGAUCUUGGUGGCGCAGCUAACGCGAUAAGUAGAACCGCCCUGGGAGGAGUACCGGCCGCAAGGUUAAAACUCAAUGAAUUUGACGGGGGCCCGCACAAGCGGUGGAGCCAGGUGGUUUAAUUCGAUGCAACGCGAGACCCUUACCAGGUCUUGACAUCCUCGGAUUUGGCAGAGAUGCCUUAGUGCCUUCGGGAGCCGAGUGACAGUGCUGCAUGGCGUCGUCAGCUCGUGUCCUGGAGAAGUGUUGGGUAGUCCGUACGAGCGCACCCUUGUCUAGGUGGCAGCACGUCAUGUUGGAACUCUAGAGACUGCGUGACUACCGAGGAAGUGGGACACUCAGGUCAUCAUGACCUACGACUGGCUACACGGCUACAUGCUGGUCGAGGUGCAGUCCAGCGACUAUCCUAAGCAGUCGUAUUCCGGAUGGAAUCUGUGGACUCGGCACUCCUAUUGA
rnacentral:rRNA from 1 species